GAGGCAUGCUGGAGGUAUCAGAAGUGCGAAUGCUGACAUAAGUAACGAUAAAGCGGGUGAAAAGCCCGCUCGCCGGAAGACCAAGGGUUCCUGUCCAACGUUAAUCGGGGCAGGGUGAGUCGACCCCUAAGGCGAGGCCGAAAGGCGUAGUCGAUGGGAAACAGGUUAAUAUUCCUGUACUUGGUGUUACUGCGAAGGGGGGACGGAGAAGGCUAUGUUGGCCGGGCGACGGUUGUCCCGGUUUAAGCGUGUAGGCUGGUUUUCCAGGCAAAUCCGGAAAAUCAAGGCUGAGGCGUGAUGACGAGGCACUACGGUGCUGAAGCAACAAAUGCCCUGCUUCCAGGAAAAGCCUCUAAGCAUCAGGUAACAUCAAAUCGUACCCCAAACCGACACAGGUGGUCAGGUAGAGAAUACCAAGGCGCUUGAGAGAACUCGGGUGAAGGAACUAGGCAAAAUGGUGCCGUAACUUCGGGAGAAGGCACGCUGAUAUGUAGGUGAAGUCCCUUGCGGAUGGAGCUGAAAUCAGUCGAAGAUACCAGCUGGCUGCAACUGUUUAUUAAAAACACAGCACUGUGCAAACACGAAAGUGGACGUAUACGGUGUGACGCCUGCCCGGUGCCGGAAGGUUAAUUGAUGGGGUCAGCGCAAGCGAAGCUCUUGAUCGAAGCCCCGGUAAACGGCGGCCGUAACUAUAACGGUCCUAAGGUAGCGAAAUUCCUUGUCGGGUAAGUUCCGACCUGCACGAAUGGCGUAAUGAUGGCCAGGCUGUCUCCACCCGAGACUCAGUGAAAUUGAACUCGCUGUGAAGAUGCAGUGUACCCGCGGCAAGACGGAAAGACCCCGUGAACCUUUACUAUAGCUUGACACUGAACAUUGAGCCUUGAUGUGUAGGAUAGGUGGGAGGCUUUGAAGUGUGGACGCCAGUCUGCAUGGAGCCGGCCUUGAAAUACCACCCUUUAAUGUUUGAUGUUCUAACGUGGACCCGUGAUCCGGGUUGCGGACAGUGUCUGGUGGGUAGUUUGACUGGGGCGGUCUCCUCCUAAAGAGUAACGGAGGAGCACGAAGGUUGGCUAAUCCUGGUCGGACAUCAGGAGGUUAGUGCAAUGGCAUAAGCCAGCUUGACUGCGAGCGUGACGGCGCGAGCAGGUGCGAAAGCAGGUCAUAGUGAUCCGGUGGUUCUGAAUGGAAGGGCCAUCGCUCAACGGAUAAAAGGUACUCCGGGGAUAACAGGCUGAUACCGCCCAAGAGUUCAUAUCGACGGCGGUGUUUGGCACCUCGAUGUCGGCUCAUCACAUCCUGGGGCUGAAGUAGGUCCCAAGGGUAUGGCUGUUCGCCAUUUAAAGUGGUACGCGAGCUGGGUUUAGAACGUCGUGAGACAGUUCGGUCCCUAUCUGCCGUGGGCGCUGGAGAACUGAGGGGGGCUGCUCCUAGUACGAGAGGACCGGAGUGGACGCAUCACUGGUGUUCGGGUUGUCAUGCCAAUGGCACUGCCCGGUAGCUAAAUGCGGAAGAGAUAAGUGCUGAAAGCAUCUAAGCACGAAACUUGCCCCGAGAUGAGUUCUCCCUGACCCUUUAAGGGUCCUGAAGGAACGUUGAAGACGACGACGUUGAUAGGCCGGGUGUGUAAGCGCAGCGAUGCGUUGAGCUAACCGGUACUAAUGAACCGUGAG
rnacentral:rRNA from 1 species